UUAAAAUAAAAUAUUCUAAUUAAAAGAAAUAAACCCUACUUUAUUGUUUUACAUUACAAUACACAGACUGUAAAGAUAUUUAACAUUAUUAAUAUUACCAGUAUUAUUACAAGCCUUUUAAACUUCACACUUUGUCCCCCCUGGAUUUAAUGGUUAGGUAUAGGGUACUCCAGUGGCUACAUUAACAAAGGAAGCAGCCAGUGCCUAAGAAACAGCUUUGUGGGGGCAAUAGCAAAGUGAAGUUCACAGCCCCAUCUAAUGAGCCAGACUUGUAAACACAUCCAGGUGAUUUUGCCAUGGGGCAAUGGGCCCAAUGCUCCUAAACCUUCCGCCUGUUCAAGAGAAGUCAGAAAGUCAGAUUUUCCUCUUGAAUCUCCAUAUUUGAUAUUUUGGCAAUAGACUCAUUUUUUUUUAAAAAUACCAUGAGAAACAAAUAAAACAUGUCUGCAGGCUGUAGUUGACGUAUCUGACCUCUAGUUCUUUAGUUUGUGAUCCAUGGAACUGAUGCAUUCUUACUAAGGGAAAUAUUUAAAACAUAUUUCUUUUUCAUGUUCAGUGGAGAUACAGAUACAUUUCUCGGGCUUUCUUCAUCUAUCCUUGCUUUCUCCCUUAUUAAAAAUUUACCCAUGGGUAAAUUAAAAUCUGUAAAAGCACAAAUCACAAGCACUAUAAAUAAAUGGUAAUCGCCACACUGAUUAAUAGUAAUGGACACCUACUCUGAGUUACAGAGUAGCUGAGAUAGGUUGGAGAUUAUGUGCAAUCCCUAGAGCAUCCUUUCUCUCCCAUGGGAGGAAAAUACUUUAAAUGAUUAUGAAAGAGAGUAAUAAUAUAGGAAUAAUCAUCCCUUAGUUCUAAGUUAUUCUUAAAAGCAAAUCAUAGCAAAAAUUUAAAAUAUUAAUCAUUACUGAAAAUUUAUAAAGCCAUGAUCCACACGGUCCAGAAUAAUGUUGCAAUUAAAACCCAAAGGCCAAAUAAGAAUUUCCAUUUUCUCUUGUAUCUCUCAUAAUCAUAUAAAGGAGUUCCAAAAUGACCCCAUAGCAACAUGAAAGCCCUGUCUUGCAUGACUUUCAAACAGCUCAAAGGAGCCACUCACUGUCCCACUCCAGAAAAACUCUCCCACUUUAUCCACACGACUCCCACUUUAUCCACAGCUUUUCUAUUUACUUUUCUAGAUCAUUUCUCUCUGAACUUUUCAGGCCCACCCUUCACACUCCCAUUACAUCAAGUUCCCCUCCAGUGAAGCCCCCGAGGUGUUAGUUUGUGUUCCAACUUGAUUGUUUUGCUCUCAAAAAUUCAUCCAUUGAGUUUUGUGCUUUCUUUCUUCAGCGAAUAGGUACCCGAAGAGUCUGGGAACACCCACACACUAACUUUUGCCCCAUCACAUUAGCAUCAAAUGUGUGUGACACACAGCACUGCUGACCAAAUGCUAUGAUACGUGAUUGAGAAGCGCUGCCCUAGAUGUCAAAGAGCUCCUGCUACUAUCUGGUUUAAGGGCUUUAGUUAAAUUAUCCCAGACAACGUCUAUUGAUGCCAAUCACUGUUUAUGGUUACUCUUCUUCACUUCUGGGGGCCAAGUCCAAAAUACAGUGAUCAUAGUUUUAACACCAUAUCAACACAACAGCUGUUCUCCAGUGAGAGAUUUUUAAAAAGGAAACAGUAAUGGCAUAGCUAAAUGGACAAAAGAAUACCAACAGUCAAUCUACUUUAGCAAAAGAGGGCAAGGGAGGUACAAUAAAGUGAAGACUUGGUUUUGCCACAAAGAACCAGAUCAAACCAACCCAGGUGUCACUGUCUUGACACAUUAUUUAUUGCAGCAAGCCUAAAAAUAUAACACGUGAUAUAUUUUCAAGGUGAACUAGAAAUAUUUUGCUUGUUGAUGACAAUGUAUGCAUGAGAAUUUAUUCAUUGAACGUUGCCUGAGCACCAUAGCUGGUGAUGACUCUCUUCACUUAGCAGAGCUUAAAGGAGAAACUUCCACAGAGCAAUCAAAGAAGAGAGAGCAGCUGGAAAUGCCAGUCUAGAAGGGGCUGCUGGGACUCAGAGGUCGGAAAACGAAGAGUGUGGGUGUCCUGAUUUUGCGGCAGCAGCAGAGGAGGAAGGCACCAGAAGGAGAUGAACUGGAAACAAAACGAACACUGCUGGAACCUGGUAAUGGGUCUUCCACACCAUCCUUCUGGAACUGAAACAGUGGGGAAAGUCACUACAAUGGUACCCUUAUGGGAAAACAGCUGAGCUAAAACCACAUUUGUCCCAGGUCCCAAAAGUGAUUUCAAGACAUUUUUCACUAAUGAUGUAACAUUCAGAAUCAGUCGAUUCAACUCAAUCACCUGAAAGGCCUCCUUGAGAUAGAGAUCAUUUUUGAGAUGCUGAAGCUACCUGGGGACGAGUGACUUAUUUAGAUAAUGGAAAAACUACUGCCUCUUUGAGAGAACCUUACACAUAAGCCAAGUUCAAGUAUUCACACUGAAAAAAUAACUGCAGUGACUGGGUAGGCAUCAUUGUUUUCUCUGGUCAGGAGAGCCUGUUCUGGCUACUAACGAGGCAUUUUCACAAAACAGAGCAGAUGGAAGCAAAUUGUGUCAAUUGGCUUGUUCCAUUACCAGCCCUGCUGAAGAACCAGAAAGACAAGAAAAUUCAUUUGAGUUUUAAGCCUCCACUAUAGAUCUCAUCAAAGAGAUAGACAGUGAUAUCAAAAAAAGAUGAGAACUUUGGGUUCAAAGAACACAAAAGUUCAGAUAUGGACGCAAAAGCUUUGUAAAUGUUUUACACCUGCCAAGCUCACAAAAGUGAACAUGAGAAAUCGUUUAUGAACUUCUAUCACUUUUCAAUUUAGCCCCAACCUAUGGAAAGAGAGUCUUGCACCUCCACCCUCUGAAUGCUGUCAUGGAUAAUUAUUUGGAAUCAAGCUUUGACUAAGAUUCUAAGAGCCCAGAAACAGCUGAAGGCAAAGGAUCCGUGGACUCUAUUUUAGAACUCGUCAGCCAGCAACAGCAUAAUGAGCACAAAGGGAGAGAUUGCCACAUGAAAGAAUUACGUUGUUUGCUGUUUUUGUGUCUUUUUUUUAAACUCUAGCUGCUUGGCAACUCUCCUAGAUCACAGCUUUGGGAAAGAAAUGUAUCUCCCUGAUGAAAAAUGAGCUAACAGAGAUCCCAUUGAUGGCCCACUCACCAGCUCUGUAUGAGUCUAUGGGUUUCGCCCUACACAAGAAACUCAACCAAAUUGAUUUCCUGAACAGAGAAAAAAGAGAGGAGGAAGUUGGGGAAAGUAAGCCAGAGACAACACGAUUCCCUCUAAAGUGUACACCAUUUGUUCCAAGAGAAUGAGGAGAUUAAGAGAAACUGUGAGUGACAUUAUUGUCCAUGUGUUUCCAUGAAGCAAAACUCAAGAUACCAACCUGAUGUUAUUUCCAGGUGGCCUGUUGUGACGUCCCAGACCGGUCAUCAAGACUUGAGGUGGGAGAUAAGGACAAGCAAGUGAGCUCCAGAAACAGAUGAGUUGUGAUUCAGAACUCUUUCUCAUUAAAUGCAACAUAAUACAGUAUCUAUUAAAACAUACUUCUGAAAUUGCUGCUAGUAGUAACCUUAACAGAAAUAACUGAAAAUAUAUGCUUUGCAAACAGAAUUUCUCUAAAUAGAACACUAUUAAAUUGGUCCUUGGAGUGUCAGAGGAUUUUUUAAUUUUGUCUUCAUAACUGUGUUCUUUCACAAUUCACUGGCUUUGUGUCUUCAGAUGCUAAUUUCUUUUUCUACUGGAGAAGUUAAUAGGCACCUCCACGUACAGCAGAUGGCUCCUUAUAAAAAAAUAAAUAAAACUAAAAAGUUGGAGAGCAUCUGGCCAGAUAUAUCAGAUCUGGUAGUUCACAUUUUAAAUACCUGUUAUUCUUGUUCAGAUAAAAAUAAUUUUAAUCCUGGUAACUUAAUCUUCUGCUCUUCUGAAAUCUUAAUAAGGUUUUUAUGGGAGCAGAUAUUAAAUAUAAUCAGUUGUCAUAGUGGUAUGAAUUCUGUUUUUCCUUUUCAAUAUAAGCAACAUGCCUUAGUCCUAACAGCUGCACAAAUAGAGAUUCACUUUGAUUUAUACUUAGCACUUUCUAUCUAAGCAUCUAGAAACUCUGGUUAACUCCCUUCCAUUACUGCAAUGUUUAUUUUUUCAUGGCUUCUGCACAGGCAUUUGAGUUUUAGGCUGGUACUUGUGGUAUUUUUCCAUUUUGGAAUAACGUCAUUAUAUCUUGAAUGCUUCUCAAUGCAGAUAGAAUAUUUCUGGUUUGAGAGUGGCUCGCUCCUUUUGGCUGCUCCUGAACCAAGAUGGGAAUGUGACCAUGGGGUUGGGUUCAGAAUUUUCCUGGGGUGAAACAGUGUUUUUCAAACAAAAGGUGACUUCGAAUGAAAAUUACAUGGAUCUCAUUGUGAUCUUUUGUGGACAUCCAGCUACACAAAAAGCAAAGGUUAAAGCCAGCUGGGUUUUUCUUUCUCAAACCACCACUCAUAAUAAACUACCCUUCUGUGAUUUGCAGCUUCCACUCUGCAGGCAGACCACCUAGGCUGCGUAUCAAAGAAAGAGCCUCUGCUAGCUUUGUGUGGAUCUGCAGGAGUCACUCUGAAGGCUUCUGAUACCUUUUAACCUGUGAUCUAUGCAUGUACUUGAGGGUGACAGUACCAGACUUUACUUCAAGGAAUAACACACUUCUUAUGGACCAUCUCUACUGUGAGGUCCUUGCAACCCACCUCCCGCUAGAUCCACUGAAAAUCUCAAAGACCAGCACCCUGUCAGUAAUGAAGUGUCUACCACAUGCCAGUCCUCACCAUAAUCCAGCCCACAGAACAGGGAGCUGAAGUGCGUCAGCUGGUUAAAUAACAUGCAUCAAAUUACUUCCUAAGAAAGAAGCUGAGUGGGAUUUGAAGUCAGGUCUAUCCCAAAGCCCCUUUUUUUCUACCACCAAAACUCUCAUUGAGGGAAUGAGAAGAAGCUAGAGCUCUAGAAGUACCAACCAGGGAAGCUCUUGCCUCUGAGCCAGCCAAGCCACAGGAUCUCAAAAUUCAAGCAUUUAUAAUUUUUAAACAUAUACCUGUUUGAAAAAGCAACGCCCUUUAGAAAAUCAGCAACAAAGCUCACUGAAAAAGUUCACCGUUAGUCAAGAGUAAAAGGUAUUUGGACCCAUUCACUCCACCCAGAGCAAGCGGGGCCCUUCAGAGCCCAGUAAAUUCCAUCUCUGUAGAUACUGAGGAGGCACCAAGAGGAGUAACGUGAGUUCACCUAUGAACUAGAUUUCUCUCGAUGCUGCAUAAUAUGGAUUUGCAGAGCACAAGACUCGGGUAGGGGGUGGGACAUGUAGAGGCCACUGCAGGAAUCAGGCUAAAAGUUAAUGGUGGCAUAAACCAAGACAGUGGCAGUAGAAACAGCAAGAAAGAGAGAUUAAGAAAUACAUGAAAAGUUAAAUAACCAGGCAUUUGUGACAGAUUAGAGGCGCGAGGGACGGAUAGUAGAAUUGAGAAAAAUGAGUCUAAACUAAUGUACGCAAGUGUUUCGAAAAACAAUGAAAAUAGCCCUACCUAAAUGCAAAUUUAAGCCCCAGAUAGCCAAAAGCCCUCCCCACAAAAAUAAUCUUUAACUGUUAAAAUUUCUUCUAAAGUCCAAAUUCAAUUACUUUUAACAAUGCAGUUAUUUCAAGUUUGACUGUGAAUUAGGCUCCUGCUGAAUAUUAAUAUCCAUGAUUUAUAAAGUACAAAUUUAUCCUUUAUGCUGCACAUAAUUAUAAUCUUGCCAUUUCCAGAAUUAUGCUCCUCUUGGAAGUUUUAUAUUUGAAAAUUAUGUUUAGUUAAUGUACAAAAGGAUAAGAGAGGCCAUUCUAUGCAGUGACAGCCUUUGUAUCAACUAGAGGAAAAAUGCCUUUCUUCCACUGUCGACUUCUAGAAAAAAUUUCCCAUGGUAUUUGUUCUCUUAAUGACAAUGGGAAAAUUAUUUUUUGCAACACACAGCUACACUUUAGGAAUAGCGUGGAUUUAUAGCUUCAAUGAUCCUGAGCAUAGAUGAGUUAAUGGUUAGAGGGCCACGGAAACAGCAUUAGCUGAACUCAAAAAUGAACUAAGAACCUGACAGAGCUUAGAAAGGCCUCUUUGGCCCUCAAACCUAAUUUUGCACUUAACCAGAUCCGACUACCUACCAAGGUAGUUUGUAAGGCAAGUUCUGAAAAUAUGGGGGAAAUUUUUUUAAUAGAAAAAAUAGCUUCAAACUUGGUAUAAUUUUGAGACCAUGCUUUUUAUCUUCCUUGCUGUCCUAAACAAUCAAUUGGCUCUCAAAUUCCAGAGGUGUUCAGAACUUCUACAUUAGCACAUAGUUCAGAAUUGGAAACUGGUCAGUACAUUUAAAAUUUUCUCUACAUCAAGUGAAUUAGCUCCUUCCAAGUUGCAACUUAGGGCUCAUGCCUUUCAUGGGGUCACAAAUGCACUAGGUUUGAGUUUUGCUAGUAGUUACAACACAACUCUGUCCAGUCUAUGCACACUCACAAUCACUCCAACAGGGAGGAAGCACGGCUUUCGGGUCAGUUGGUUCUGAGUUACAGGUUUGCAACGUCAUGGUCUUCACUGACAUUUGUUAUGCAUUGUCAACAUGGCAGACCUCAAAUAAGUUUUUAAAAAGUGCAGUAUAAAGAGCUAUAUCCAAUUUAUAUUUCCUCCUAUUUAUUUCUGUUCUUUCAUAAGGAGCCAAUUUCAUAUUAUGUGUUCUCCAGGCAGGCAAAAUGAGAACUCAAAUGACCUGCAGUUUGCAUCCCAGAGUCUGAGAAAUAUUAAAACCUUGGAAUUUGCCAAAAAGAAAGCAAUUAAAAGUCAAAAUAAAGAAUCCCCAUAUAAGCCAAGUGUAAUGCAAAGGUAAGGCUCCUUGGGCUCCACCAAUUUGUGAGUUUUGUUAACAUACUGCCACUGAGCCCACUGGAUCAACAAUUCUCACCUGCCUGACUUCAGGUGCGUCUCCUUCCCCCUUCUCAUGUCUAAGAGUCCCCAGAAGGCAGGGGUGGGGGAAGAGGGGACACCAGAAAAGGUCUUCCAAAUAUUCAAAACCGCUGCCUGCAGCCCUGUCACCACUGUCUGUUGCUAUCUGACUUUUAAUGCUCCUGUCGAUUCCUUAGGCCUGCAAGUUGGUGGUUUUGACUUAUUUAUCAGGAUGUCGCCGUAAGCACAAAAAGACCAAGUAAAAGUGGGUGAAACUUUCCUAAAAAUACGGAAUUAAAAGACCAACAGUGAUGGGCAGGAGAUGCAAACAGACAGUGCAUAAAAGAAAUGUAAAUGGCCCUUAAACACAUGAACACAGAAAUGCAAUUAAAACCAUGCUGAGAAACCACUUCUUACCUAGCAAAAGUUUGACAAUAUAUUUAAUUAUGCAGAGAAGAAUCAUUUCAAGUGAACUUAAACACAGAAACUUGACUAUCUAUGCUUAAUGGAAUCCACUCUAAAGACAAAAAAACAUUGCCAGGGGGCUGGCCCUGUGGCCAAGC